rnacentral:rRNA from 1 species
UACGGAGGAUGCAAGCGUUAUCCGGAUUUAUUGGGUUUAAAGGGUGCGCAGGUUGUUUGAUAAGUCAGUGGUGAAAGUCUGUCGCUUAACGGUAGGAUUGCCAUUGAUACUGUUGGACUUGAAUAUGGAUGAGGUAGGCGGAAUGUGUUGUGUAGCGGUGAAAUGCAUAGAUAUUACACAGAACACCGAUUGCGAAGGCAGCUUACUAAUCCAUCAUUGACGCUGAGGCACGAAAGCGUGGGGAGUCAAACA